rnacentral:lncRNA from 1 species
CUGCAGUGAUUUUCUUCCAAUCCAGUAUCAUUUGUACGUUGCAGCAUCAUCCAACACUAUGACCCAUGAAUCAGAAGAUAACGUAGAUGCUACGAGAGAGCUCAUUUCACAAUGGACAACAGAAGUGUUACGUGACUUUCUACAAGGAGGGGACUCAAGCUUGGAAAUCGAGUACCGGUAGUCAUUAUUUUAUGGGUGUUCUCUGCCUUGACUCUGGGGGUACUGUUCAGCCAUCCGAGGUAGAGAUAAACUGGACGAUGGAUGGAGAGGGGGCGGGGGGGGGGGGGGGGGGAGAAAGGCAUGCAGACUGCAGAGCUGGUCGUCUACUAUGUAUAGAGACAUUUGUGUGUACCUAGUAGAUAAGGACCCUCCAUCACUAGAGGGAAGAAUGAGAGACUACAAAGAGGGAAAGGCAUUUAGUUAUUUUGCCAGUUUCUGGUUAGGGAGAUAUUUUUUUCAUCUCGUGGGAGAAAGCUGUCUGUAAUUCAAAAUCAUUUGAUACUUGAAUAAAUUUAGUUCAUUUUCUAGACUGUUUCAUGUCAAACCGUUGAUUCUACUUUCUUGUGAGUAUAGUCAGAGAGAUAGAGAAGUAACACGAGUAAA